CCUAAGGCUCUUUUCAGGGCCACCACUGUUUCUUCUAAAGAGCUGU
rfam:Monodelphis domestica chromosome 2, whole genome shotgun sequence.